rnacentral:rRNA from 1 species
UACGUAGGGCGCAAGCGUUGUCCGGAAUUAUUGGGCGUAAAGAGCUCGUAGGCGGCUUGUCACGUCGAUUGUGAAAGCCCGAGGCUUAACCUCGGGUCUGCAGUCGAUACGGGCUAGCUAGAGUGUGGUAGGGGGAGAUCGGAAUUCCUGGUGUAGCGGUGAAAUGCGCAGAUAUCAGGAGGAACACCGGUGGCGAAGGCGGUUCUCUGGGCCUGUACUGACGCUGAGGUGCGAAAGCGUGGGGAGCGAACAGG